rnacentral:rRNA from 1 species
UACGGGGGGGGCAAGCGUUGUUCGGAAUUACUGGGCGUAAAGGGCGCGUAGGCGGCUCGCUAAGUCGGAUGUGAAAACUCUGGGCUCAACCCAGAGCCUGCAUUCGAAACUGACGAGCUAGAGUUCUGGAGGGGAAAGCGGAAUUCCUGGUGUAGCGGUGAAAUGCGUAGAUAUCAGGAGGAACACCAAUUGCGAAGGCAGCUCGCUGGGACGUAACUGACGCUGAGACGCGAAAGCGUGGGGAGCAAACAGG